GAUAAACGCUGGCGGCGUGCCUAAUACAUGCAAGUCGAGCGAACGGACGAGAAGCUUGCUUCUCUGAUGUUAGCGGCGGACGGGUGAGUAACACGUGGAUAACCUACCUAUAAGACUGGGAUAACUUCGGGAAACCGGAGCUAAUACCGGAUAAUAUUUUGAACCGCAUGGUUCAAAAGUGAAAGACGGUCUUGCUGUCACUUAUAGAUGGAUCCGCGCUGCAUUAGCUAGUUGGUAAGGUAACGGCUUACCAAGGCAACGAUGCAUAGCCGACCUGAGAGGGUGAUCGGCCACACUGGAACUGAGACACGGUCCAGACUCCUACGGGAGGCAGCAGUAGGGAAUCUUCCGCAAUGGGCGAAAGCCUGACGGAGCAACGCCGCGUGAGUGAUGAAGGUCUUCGGAUCGUAAAACUCUGUUAUUAGGGAAGAACAUAUGUGUAAGUAACUGUGCACAUCUUGACGGUACCUAAUCAGAGAGCCACGGCUAACUACGUGCCAGCAGCCGCGGUAAUACGUAGGUGGCAAGCGUUAUCCGGAAUUAUUGGGCGUAAAGCGCGCGUAGGCGGUUUUUUAAGUCUGAUGUGAAAGCCCACGGCUCAACCGUGGAGGGUCAUUGGAAACUGGAAAACUUGAGUGCAGAAGAGGAAAGUGGAAUUCCAUGUGUAGCGGUGAAAUGCGCAGAGAUAUGGAGGAACACCAGUGGCGAAGGCGACUUUCUGGUCUGUAACUGACGCUGAUGUGCGAAAGCGUGGGGAUCAAACAGGAUUAGAUACCCUGGUAGUCCACGCCGUAAACGAUGAGUGCUAAGUGUUAGGGGGUUUCCGCCCCUUAGUGCUGCAGCUAACGCAUUAAGCACUCCGCCUGGGGAGUACGACCGCAAGGUUGAAACUCAAAGGAAUUGACGGGGACCCGCACAAGCGGUGGAGCAUGUGGUUUAAUUCGAAGCAACGCGAAGAACCUUACCAAAUCUUGACAUCCUUUGACAACUCUAGAGAUAGAGCCUUCCCCUUCGGGGGACAAAGUGACAGGUGGUGCAUGGUUGUCGUCAGCUCGUGUCGUGAGAUGUUGGGUUAAGUCCCGCAACGAGCGCAACCCUUAAGCUUAGUUGCCAUCAUUAAGUUGGGCACUCUAAGUUGACUGCCGGUGACAAACCGGAGGAAGGUGGGGAUGACGUCAAAUCAUCAUGCCCCUUAUGAUUUGGGCUACACACGUGCUACAAUGGACAAUACAAAGGGCAGCGAAACCGCGAGGUCAAGCAAAUCCCAUAAAGUUGUUCUCAGUUCGGAUUGUAGUCUGCAACUCGACUACAUGAAGCUGGAAUCGCUAGUAAUCGUAGAUCAGCAUGCUACGGUGAAUACGUUCCCGGGUCU
rnacentral:rRNA from 1 species